AUGCACGCCACACAAAAAGGCAGACCGGCCAGUUCCUCGAAAUCUAGGGCAUGUUCGGCUCUCCGCGGUAACACCAGUUUGCAUGCUCGUAAGCCAUCCGCUGCUGCAACCAAAACUGUUGUACAAGCGAAGCCAAAGAAGACCAAAGAGCUGGAGGAAGCUGAGAACGAAAUCCAAAGGCUGAACAAAUUGGGCUUGGGAGACGAUAUCAGCGACGAAGAGUAUCGUGUUUAUCUUAAACAGCUGCCUCGCAAGCCUGAUGUCGACAUCUGCACCAAGCUGGAUGCCGUGCAGCUCAAGGAGCUCAAUGAUCGCCAUGCGUUGUAUCGCCUCAAGUAUUAUCAGCUGUCACAACACGCGCCUGAGGAUAAGCUUUGCUAUGAUAAAUUGAAAGAAGACGACCCCCCUGGUUGUCGUCAUGUGAGGGAGAGGUCUUUUAAUUGCUCUGAGGAAGAUGGCGAAUUAGAUUGGUAUUUCCACCCUGAUUACUGCAAACUUGCUGGCCUGGAGGAUUACCAAGGGCUGGUCCCUCGAAAUUAUGGUGGUUUUGAGUAUGUCAAUUGGGAUGAGUACCACAAAGAUUGUCAUAGCUAUGAGAUUGAACAAGAAUAUGUCAAAUUCUGUGAAGAAUUGUCCAAGAAACUUAAGUGGAUUGAAGCUUAUGUGUUAAAUAAGCCUCCAUCUCUUAUGUGGGGAAAGAUUUUGACCAGAGGAACUUACGUAGCAAUCAAGAUCGCUACUGACUUCUCGAAGAUAUACGAUGGUUUAGCCUUUUCUGGCUUCUAUGUAGGGUCUCUCGUACACUUGUUAUUUUCAUUUAGGUGUUUUAUAUUUAUCAAUUGCAUAUUCUUUUAA
rnacentral:rRNA from 1 species